rnacentral:lncRNA from 1 species
GGUGCUGACAUAAUUUCCUGACCUCUGACCCGUAUUGUCUCGCGAUUAAAGGUCCAGAUUUGGAACAAAUCUCUCUAGAGAUUGAACAGAGCUGCGCCUGGAUCCCUCAGCAGUGAGGAGACCUGAAGACCAGAGGAAACACAGCAAUAGAGAUGAAGUUUCACCAUGUUGGCCAGGCUGGUCACAAACCAGCCAGCCUCAGCUGAUCUGCCAGCCUCAGCCCCCCAAAAUGCUGGAAUUACAGGGGCUCACCAGAGAAGACAGGGCAAGGUGAGGGGGAUCUCCUAGCAGAGGAAACAACAUGCGCCAAUCAAGCAAAGAUAUUUUUGUGCAUUCAAGGAACACAGAGAGGAAAGACAGUGGCAGAUGGAGACGUAUAAAGCAGGGAUCCUGUUAUGAAAAGCCCUAAAAAAUAGGGUAUAGAGUUUGGGCCAUAUUUCAGAGGUAAUAAGAAAGCAUUCUGCAUUUUUAAAGUAAGGUUUAAAAAUGUUUCUAAUUAGAGAUACAGCAAAGUUGGUGUGAGAGGAUAAAGACUGAUAUACAUAAUCUGAGGAGUUCAUGAAAAUUCCAUGUAAAGCCUGUAGUAUGAAUUGGUCCUAGGAGACAGACAGCUUCAGGGGCAUAGAGAACUUUAAGCACUUUUCCAAGAAGAGUGAAGGGCUGGAGAAUAAAUUGUGAACUAAAAUAUAUUUUGUGUUUGAGAAC